rnacentral:lncRNA from 1 species
AUGGUGAAAAAGGCGAAAAAACAAAUGGAGUUUCUCAAUUUACCUACGAGAUUAAG